CAGUAGCCGCGGUAAUACAGAGGGUGCAAGCGUUAAUCGGAAUUACUGGGCGUAAAGCGCGCGUAGGUGGUUUGUUAAGUUGGAUGUGAAAGCCCCGGGCUCAACCUGGGAACUGCAUCCAAAACUGGCAAGCUAGAGUACGGUAGAGGGUGGUGGAAUUUCCUGUGUAGCGGUGAAAUGCGUAGAUAUAGGAAGGAACACCAGUGGCGAAGGCGACCACCUGGACUGAUACUGACACUGAGGUGCGAAAGCGUGGGGAGCAAACAGGAUUAGAGACCCCAGUAGUCCCUGUCUCUUAUAA
rnacentral:rRNA from 1 species